ensembl:lncRNA
CUGGGCCUUUUGCUCACCCUCUGCCCAACCCCAUCUUCUGAGACUGCUGCCUGGACCAGAGAAUCCAGUUUCUACUUGUCCAGGCAAACACUAUGCAUGACAGCCGAAGUUAGAAAGGAACAUGGUAUUUCAGAGAGAGAAAAAAAGAAGUCUAGAGUGCCUAGAGAAGACAGAGCCAAGGAAACAGUGGCUGAAGAUGCAGCUGGAGAAAGAUGCCGGGGCCAUGUAACACACCGCCUUUUAUGCAGCAUUAGAGUCUGCCUUGUGACAUACAGGCCAUUUUGCUGAUAGGUGGAAGACCACUGAUGAGAAUGACGGAAACCAAUGGAGCAAGAGGAGGAGAGGCAUCACUCAGUUAAUCCAGGUUAAUCAGAAUUCCAAAAAAUUCAUCAUUUUGAAGAGUAACUGGUCACUAUCAAGUUCUUCCUGUGAACAUCAGCGUCCUCUUUGAUCCAACGCAUUUUUCUCCCUUUGACCCACAAGCAGCUGAAAUUCUGAGGACCAUAAAGUUCACCCACUUCUUAGAAGUCUGUUUUUAAAGCCCUCAGUUUCGGGGAUGGACAUGUCCUGACCUUGUCUCUGCAACUAUAAAUGUCCUUGAACCUCAGGACAAGCCUGAUACAGCUGACACACCAGAAGGAAAAAAAAAAAAAACCCAUGGGGACAGGUGAUGUUGGCUAACCUAUCUCAACUCUUGCUUUAGUGCCAUGGCUCCCAAAUUGAACGAUGAGUCACCCUGGGAGAUUGCAGUGAACACAGGGGCUUCCGUGCGAUAUUUCAUAUUUCCAGGGGAAACACAGACAUAUUCAACAUUUGUCAGACACUGUGCAAACUAUUAAUUCAAGCUGAUUGUGAAGAAGAGGGAUUGAAGGGAUUAAGAAUAUAUGCAGGAUACCCUCUAAGAAGCUAU